AUUGAACGCUGGCGGCAGGCCUAACACAUGCAAGUCGAGCGGUAACACAGGGAGCUUGCUCCUGGGUGACGAGCGGCGGACGGGUGAGUAAUGUCUGGGAAACUGCCUGAUGGAGGGGGAUAACUACUGGAAACGGUAGCUAAUACCGCAUAAUGUCGCAAGACCAAAGAGGGGGACCUUCGGGCCUCUUGACAUCAGAUGUGCCCAGAUGGGAUUAGCUAGUAGGUGGGGUAACGGCUCACCUAGGCGACGAUCCCUAGCUGGUCUGAGAGGAUGACCAGCCACACUGGAACUGAGACACGGUCCAGACUCCUACGGGAGGCAGCAGUGGGGAAUAUUGCACAAUGGGCGCAAGCCUGAUGCAGCCAUGCCGCGUGUAUGAAGAAGGCCUUCGGGUUGUAAAGUACUUUCAGCGGGGAGGAAGGUGUUGAGGUUAAUAACCUCAGCAAUUGACGUUACCCGCAGAAGAAGCACCGGCUAACUCCGUGCCAGCCGCCGCGGUAAAAC
rnacentral:rRNA from 1 species